rnacentral:lncRNA from 1 species
GGAGAGGAGUAUCCAGCCAUGUUUGAUGCCCCCCUGAAAGUCAGUGGCUGCAAAUUCCCCCUGCCUUGCACCCAAGGUGUUGGAAGUCACGCUCCUGGGCUCCCACAUCUCAAAGGACAACAUGUGGACCCUGUUUAUGUGCUUGUCUUGACUUAAGCAGAAGAGGUUGUUCAUACCACGCUAUGUUUUUCAGUGGAGGACAAGGAGCCUGCUGAUGACCUGCAGGGUAAUUGCAAUAAAAAAGAAAUGCCAGCUGCAGACAAACUGGGGAAAACUCUGACUAAUGAACCUUAUCAUGUAUAUUGAGUCUGCAAGAAGAAGAAAGGAGGAUGCAUCACUGGGGGAUGGGACUCACCUUCAAAGAGGUAUUCCCUGCAGGAUCUGGGGGUGGAGGGAUUCCUUUGGCAAGCUGGCUGUUCCCAGCAGGCAGCAAAAGCCAGCUCACACCUCAGGAGGGACUGGAGAUGUGCUCCCCCAGCAAACACUGAGAGUAUAUUCUCAUUUACAGAUCUUCAGCUGUAAUGCUGUUCUGCUGUUGGAGAUUAGCAGUAUCAAAAAAUCACAGCAAAAUCAGAUUUGGACAACUCUUGUUAUCUAUUAUUUAAUUUGUUAGUUUAUUGUGUCUAGUACCAUAGAUGUGAGCCAGAAGAAUAGAGUGUGUUUUGCAGUGAGACACUCAUGCAGGACUGACAAAGUUAUUGAGCAUGGCUUUUAAUAACAAUAAAAUUAGAAAGAAGUUUCA